rnacentral:rRNA from 1 species
GAUGAAGGCCUUCUGGGUUGUAAACGGCUUUCCUCAGGGAGGAGAAAGACCAUGCGUGUUACUCUGACGGUACCUGAGGAAUAAGCACCGGCUUACUCCGUGCCAGCAGCCGCGGUUAUACGGAGGGUGCAAGCGUUGUCCGGAUUUAGUGGGUUUAAAGGGUGCGUAGGCGGCCCGUUAAGUCCGGGGUGAAAGCCCACAGCUCAACUGUGGAAGUGCCCUGGAUACUGGCGGGCUUGAGUCCAGACGAGGUGGGCGGAAUGGAAGGUGUAGCGGAGACAUGCAUAGAUACCAUCCAAAACCCCGAUUGCGUAGGCAGCUGGCUAGGCUGGUACUGACGCUGAGGCACGCAAGCGUGGGGAGCGGGCAGGAUUAGAUACCCUGGUAGUCCUCGCCGUAAACGAUGGAUACUAACUGG